UAUAAAUCCCUGGGGCUGAGGCAGCUGAGCUCCACAGGGAAACCCAGGGCCUUCCGUCCUAGACCAGGACAGGCGUGUGCAUCCGACGGGAGCUGUGGAGAGAGGAGCCUAGGGGCGCGUGGGCACGCGGGCGGGCCCCGCAGUCCAGAUGGCUUUCCGGGAGCAAUGGCUGAGCACGCACAUCUCUGAGGUGCUCCCCAUGCCCAGCCCCGCCAGCCCGUGCGGAAGGCCGGAAGCUAGAGCAAGGCCUCGGGAGGGUCUCGGGCGCUGAGCCUGGCACCCUGCACGCUUGGCGUUCAGGAGCAUCUUCCCCACUGGCAGGUUGGGGGCCGUGGAGCUGGUCCAGGGCGCAGGCACCCCUGAGGGCUCACUCUGUGCUACGCACGCUCUCUUAAAUCCUCACAAGUCCUUCAAGGGCCUCAGGCUUGCGUCAGGAAAUGGAGGGAAGGGGCUGCGUCACCCUCCUGAACCUGCUGAAGAGGCCAGACCGGGAGCAGCCAUGUGGUGGAGAUGGGGCGGCGUGUGAGUUGUGCGGCAGCCUUUCUUCAUCUUGAGCUGCAAAUCCUUGGAAACCUGAGGCAGGCUCUGAAUCAAGCUUAAUUAAAAUUCACUCUGUUAGGGCCAUUACUUAAAACCAGCUCUUUGUAAUAAAGCUGUGUAAUCAUAA